CAUGAAAUUGAGUCUCAGAGAGGGGAUCGAUUUGCUUAGUGGUAUAAUACCUGAACUCUGUCAGAAAUAUCCAGAUUUAAAUUUCAUAAUUGGAGGAGAG
rnacentral:sRNA from 2 species